UACGAAGGGGGCUAGCGUUGCUCGGAAUUACUGGGCGUAAAGCGCACGUAGGCGGAUCAGCAAGUUAGGGGUGAAAUCCUGGAGCUCAACUCCAGAACUGCCUUUGAUACUGAAGAUCUUGAGUUCGGGAGAGGUGAGUGGAACUGCGAGUGUAGAGGUGAAAUUCGUAGAUAUUCGCAAGAACACCAGUGGCGAAGGCGGCUCACUGGCCCGAUACUGACGCUGAUGCACGAAAGCGUGGGGAGCAAACAGG
rnacentral:rRNA from 1 species